rnacentral:rRNA from 1 species
UACGAAGGGGGCUAGCGUUGUUCGGAAUCACUGGGCGUAAAGCGCACGCAGGCGGAUUGAUAAGUCGGGGGUGAAAUCCCGGGGCUCAACCUCGGAAUUGCCUUCGAUACUGUCUGUCUUGAGUCCGGGAGAGGUGAGUGGAAUUCCUAGUGUAGAGGUGAAAUUCGUAGAUAUUAGGAAGAACACCAGUGGCGAAGGCGGCUCACUGGCCCGGUACUGACGCUGAGGUGCGAAAGCGUGGGGAGCAAACAGG